rnacentral:rRNA from 1 species
CCCUUAGAUGCUCUGGGCCGCACGCGCGCUACACUGGUCGAUGCGACGAGUUUCUUUCCUUGGCCGACAGGCCUGGGCAAUCUUUGAACAUCGAUCGUGAUCGGGAUAGAUUCUUGUAAUUUUUGAUCUUAAACGAGGAAUUCCUAGUAAACGCAAGUCAUCAGCUUGCAUUGAUUACGUCCCUGCCCUUUGUACACACCGCCCGUCGCACCUACCGAUUGAAUGGUCCGGUGAAAUCUCCGGACUGGCGUGAGUCGGAGCAAUCUGACAAACACCGGAAAGUUGAUUAAACCUUACCAUUUAGAGGAAGGUGAAGUCGUAACA